rnacentral:rRNA from 1 species
AGUUCAGAUUAUGGUUCAGAUUGAACGCUGGCGGGAUGCUUUACACAUGCAAGUCAACGGCAGCACGGACUUCGGUCUGGUGGCGAGUGGCGAACGGGUGAGUAAUGUAUCGGAACGUGCCUAGCAGUGGGGAUAACUACGCGUCGCAAAGCGUGGCUGGCUACCGCAUACGCCCUUCGUGCGCGCUGGGGACCUUCGGGCCUGCACGGCUAGGAGCGGGCCGGAUACCGGAUUAGCUAGCCAGGGUAACGGCUCACCGAAGACGAUCCGCAGCUGGUUUGAGAGGACGACCACCCACAUCUGGGACUGGAGAUUAUCGGCCCAGACUCCUACGGGAGGCAGCAGUGGGAAUUUUGACAAUGGGGAAACCCUGAUCCAGCCAUCCCGCGUGUGCGAUGCAGGCUUCCGGGUUGUAAAAAGCACUUUUGGCAGGAAAGAAACGGCACGGAUAAUACCCCGUGCAACUGACGGUACCUGCAGAAUAAAAUAUCCGGUUAACUGAUGAAGAAACGGCAUGCUGGUAAAUGGCGUUAAUCAAAUUACUGGGUGAAGGUGCGCAGGCGGUUCGGAAAGAAAGAUGUGAAAUCCCAGAGUCAACUUUGAACUGCAUUUUAACUACCGAGCUGAGUGGCCAGAGUGGAGAAUUCGCGGUAUAAAAUGUGUGACAGUAGAUAAAUACCAUGAAGAAGCAGCUCUGGAUAACACUGACGCCUGCGCAUUGAAAGCAGCAAACAGGAUUAGAUACCCUGCGUAGUCCACACCUCAAACGAUGUCAUUCAUUGUUAGCCUUCGCAACUUUGGUAGCGCAGCUAACGCGUGAAGUUGACCGCCUGGGGAGUACGGUCGCAAGAUUGCAACUCAAAGGAAUUGACGGGACCGGCAUGGGCGCGGUGAUGAUGUGGGGAUUAUCCAUAAUGCUAAAAACCUUACCUACCCUUGACAUGUCUGGAAUCCCGAAGAUUUGGCGUUCGCAAGAGAACCGAACACAGGUGCUGCAUGGCUGUCGUCAGCUCGUGUCGAGAUGUUGCUGUCUCAACGAGCGUGCAACCCUUGUCAUUAGUUGCUGCCAGAAAGGGCACUUUGCACUGGUGAUCGCCGAAAGAUAAACCCGAGGAAGGUACUGGGAUGACGCCGGAGUCCUCAUGGCCCUUAUGGGUAGGUCAGGACAUCGUCAUACAAUGCUACCGGGACAGAGGGUCGCCAACCCGCGAGGGGGAGCUAAUCCCAGAAACCCGAUCGUAGUCCGGAUCGCAAGCUCGUAACUGAUCGCCGCGGAAGUCGGAAUCGCUAGUAAUCGUGGAUCAGCAUGUCGCGGUGAAUACGUUCCCGGGUCUUGUACACACCGCCCGUCACACCAUGGGAGUGGGUUUGCCAGAAGUAGUUAGCCUAACCGUAAGGGAGGGCGAUUACCACGGUAGGAUUCAGAUCAGUGAAGUCGUAACAAGGUA